rnacentral:tRNA from 1 species
GGUAGAGUGGCCGAAUGUUAGGCGGUAGGCUGUAGUCCUACCCACAUUGGUUUAAUUCCUUUCUCUAUCAAA